rnacentral:rRNA from 1 species
AACGAACGCUGGCGGCAUGCUUUACACAUGCAAGUCGAACGAGACCUUCGGGUCUAGUGGCGCACGGGUGCGUAACGCGUGGGAAUCUGCCCUUUGCUACGGAAUAACCCAGAGAAAUUUGUGCUAAUACCGUAUAAUGUCGAAAGACCAAAGAUUUAUCGGCAAAGGAUGAGCCCGCGUAGGAUUAGCUAGUUGGUGAGGUAAAGGCUCACCAAGGCGACGAUCCUUAGCUGGUCUGAGAGGAUGAUCAGCCACACUGGGACUGAGACACGGCCCAGACUCCUACGGGAGGCAGCAGUGGGGAAUAUUGGACAAUGGGGGCAACCCUGAUCCAGCCAUGCCGCGUGAGUGAUGAAGGCCCUAGGGUUGUAAAGCUCUUUUGUGCGGGAAGAUAAUGACAGUACCGCAAGAAUAAGCCCCGGCUAACUUCGUGCCAGCCGCCGCAGUAAUAC